rnacentral:tRNA from 1 species
GGCUAUGUAGCUCAAUUGGUAGAGCAGGGCGCACCCCGUCUAUUGCGCUGGUUCAAUUCCAGCCAUAGCAAGUCCGA